AAUUAUAUUCUAAUUUAAACUGAAUAAAUCAAUUUUUCUUAUAUUUUAACUGAAAUGAAAUUCUAAAAAUAACAAUAAAAAAAUUAAACUAAAAAUAGCCAAAAACCAGGAUUAGAUACCCUGCUAUUCUAUUAUAACAUAAUAUUUCAAUAUAAAACCAAAUAAAUUUGACGGAAUUAACUUUUACAAAGGAUUUUGUUUUGAUUAAUCGAAAACACGCGUUUUACCUCACUUAAAAUCUAUUUGUAUACCACCGUAUAAGAAAUUUCCUAACAUAAAUUUCAAAAAAAAACUUUUUACAAAAUCAGGUCAAGGUGCAAUAUUUUUAAGUCAAAAUGAAAUACAUUAAUAAAUUAUUUAAAUAAUUCUUAUGAAAGAAAGAAUAAACAGAAUUUGUUAGUAAAUAAAAAUCAUUAUGUUUUUUUGAAAAACUUUCAUUAAUUAG
rnacentral:rRNA from 1 species